rnacentral:misc_RNA from 1 species
GAUGAAGAACGUAGCGAAAUGCGAUAAGUAAUGUGAAUUGCAGAAUUCAGUGAACCAUCGAAUCUUUGAACGCACAUUGCGCCCGCCAGUAUUCUGGCGGGCAUGCCUGUUCGAGCGUCAUUUCAACCAUCAAGCCCCCGGCUUGUGUUGGGGACCUGCGGCUGCCGCAGGCCCUGAAAACCAGUGGCGGGCUCGCUAGUCACUCCGAGCGUAGUAAUACAUCUCGCUCAGGGCGUGCUGCGGGUUCCGGCCGUUAAAAAGCCUUAUUUACCCAAGGUUGACCUCGGAUCAGGUAGGAAGACCCGCUGAACUUAAGCAUAUCAAUAAGCGGAGGA